AGCUUUAUAGUCAAUUAAAUGAUAUUAGACUGCAAUUCUAAAGUAGGUUUUACCUAAAGCUU
rnacentral:tRNA from 1 species